AGUUAAAGAUUAGGAGUCUAAACCUCCUCAUAAUGA
rnacentral:tRNA from 1 species